rfam:Salmo salar isolate Sally breed double haploid chromosome ssa25, whole genome shotgun sequence.
UGAAUGCACUAACUGUAAGUAGCUCUGGAUAAGAGCAUCUGCUAAAUGACUCAAA